CCUACGGGAGGCAGCAGUAGGGAAUAUUGGGCAAUGGACGGAAGUCUGACCCAGCCAUGCCGCGUGCAGGAAGAAGGUCCUCUGGAUUGUAAACUGCUUUAGACGGGGAAGAAUAAGGAUCAUGCGUGAUCUGAUGACGGUACCCGUAGAAUAAGCACCGGCUAACUACGUGCCAGCAGCCGCGGUAAUACGUAGGGUGCGAGCGUUGUCCGGAUUUAUUGGGUUUAAAGGGUGCGUAGGCGGGAGAGUAAGUUCGCUUUUAAAGCCGGCCGCUUAACGGUCAGGUAGGGGGCGGAUACUGCUUUUCUUGAGAGGGCUCGGGGCUGGCGGAAUUUGUGGUGUAGCGGUGAAAUGCAUAGAUACCACAAGGAACACCGAUCGCGUAGGCAGCCAGCCAGGGCCUUUCUGACGCUGAGGCACGAAAGUGCGGGGAGCAAACAGGAUUAGAUACCCUGGUAGUCCGCACUGUAAACGAUGCAUACUCGGUGUCGGCUCGUUAGAGCCGGUGCCUGAGGGAAACCGAUAAGUAUGCCACCUGGGGAGUACGCCGGCAACGGUGAACUUAAAGGAAUUGACGGCUGAGAGNGCGACGACGACGACGAGGGAGAGG
rnacentral:rRNA from 1 species